rnacentral:siRNA from 1 species
GGUUAGCACCGAGAAUGAUGGACU